rnacentral:rRNA from 1 species
AGAGGCAAUAAUGUUGAUAUGAGUAACAAGAAAUAAUUCUCCCUGCAUAUGUGUAUAUCAGAACGGAUGGACCACUGAUAGUUAUCAAGAUCAAUGUAACCACAAUCAAGCACAUGAUAAUAAUUGUUAGCCCAACACAGGAAUGCUGAUUAAGAAAAGAAGUAAAAGGAACUCGGC